rnacentral:rRNA from 1 species
UACGUAGGGGGCAAGCGUUGUUCGGAAUUAUUGGGCGUAAAGGGCGCGUAGGCGGUGCGGUAAGUCGGGUGUGAAAUCUCGGAGCUUAACUCCGAAAUUGCAUUCGAUACUGCCGUGCUCGAGGACUGGAGAGGAGACUGGAAUUCAUGGUGUAGCAGUGAAAUGCGUAGAGAUCAUGAGGAAGACCAGUGGCGAAGGCGGGUCUCUGGACAGUUCCUGACACUGAGGCACGAAGGCCAGGGGAGCAAACGGG